rnacentral:rRNA from 1 species
GACGGGUUAGUAACGCGUGGGAACGUGCCCUUCUCUAAGGAAUAGCCACUGGAAACGGUGAGUAAUACCUUAUACGCCCUUCGGGGGAAAGAUUUAUCGGAGAAGGAUCGGCCCGCGUUAGAUUAGAUAGUUGGUGGGGUAACGGCCUACCAAGUCUACGAUCUAUAGCUGGUUUUAGAGGAUGAUCAGCAACACUGGGACUGAGACACGGCCCAGACUCCUACGGGAGGCAGCAGUGGGGAAUCUUGGACAAUGGGCGCAAGCCUGAUCCAGCCAUGCCGCGUGAGUGAUGAAGGCCUUAGGGUCGUAAAGCUCUUUCGCCAGAGAUGAUAAUGACAGUAUCUGGUAAAGACACCCCGGCUAACUCCGUGC